rnacentral:rRNA from 1 species
GAGUAACGCGUAUGCAACCUACCUAUCAGAGGGGAAUAACCCGGCGAAAGUCGGACUAAUACCGCAGUAAAACAGGGGCACCGCAUGGUGAUAUUUGUUAAAGAAAUUCGCUGAUAGAUGGGCAUGCGUUCCAUUAGGGUAGUUGGUGAGGUAACGGCUCACCAAGCCGACGAUGGAUAGGGGAACUGAGAGGUUGGUCCCCCCACACUGGUACUGAGACACGGACCAGACUCCUACGGGAGGCAGCAGUGAGGAAUAUUGGUCAAUGGGCGGGAGCCUGAACCAGCCAAGUCGCCGUGAAGGAAGAAGGAUCUAUGGUUCGUAAACUUCUUUUGCAGGGGAAUAAAGUGCAGGACGUGUCCUGUUUUGUAUGUACCCUGAGAAUAAGGAUCGGCUAACUCCGUGCCAGCCGCGGC